AGUCGAGCGAACUGAUUAGAAGCUUGCUUCUAUGACGUUAGCGGCGGACGGGUGAGUAACACGUGGGCAACCUGCCUGUAAGACUGGGAUAACUUCGGGAAACCGAAGCUAAUACCGGAUAGGAUCUUCUCCUUCAUGGGAGAUGAUUGAAAGAUGGUUUCGGCUAUCACUUACAGAUGGGCCCGCGGUGCAUUAGCUAGUUGGUGAGGUAACGGCUCACCAAGGCAACGAUGCAUAGCCGACCUGAGAGGGUGAUCGGCCACACUGGGACUGAGACACGGCCCAGACUCCUACGGGAGGCAGCAGUAGGGAAUCUUCCGCAAUGGACGAAAGUCUGACGGAGCAACGCCGCGUGAGUGAUGAAGGCUUUCGGGUCGUAAAACUCUGUUGUUAGGGAAGAACAAGUAYRAGAGUAACUGCUYGUACCUUGACGGUACCUAACCAGAAAGCCACGGCUAACUACGUGCCAGCAGCCGCGGUAAUACGUAGGUGGCAAGCGUUAUCCGGAAUUAUUGGGCGUAAAGCGCGCGCAGGCGGUUUCUUAAGUCUGAUGUGAAAGCCCACGGCUCAACCGUGGAGGGUCAUUGGAAACUGGGGAACUUGAGUGCAGAAGAGAAAAGCGGAAUUCCACGUG
rnacentral:rRNA from 1 species